rnacentral:rRNA from 1 species
GUUGUAUGGUUAAGCGACUAAGCGUAUACGGUGGAUGCCUUGGCAGUCAGAGGCGAUGAAGGACGUAGUAACUUGCGAAAAGCGUUGGCGAGCUAGUAACAAGCAUUUGAGCUAACGAUGUCCGAAUGGGGGAACCCGGCCGCAUAAGCGGUCAUCAUUAAGUGAAUACAUAGCUUAAUGAGGCAAACGAGGGGAACUGAAACAUCUAAGUACCCUUAGGAAAAGAAAUCAACCGAGAUUCCCCUAGUAGCGGCGAGCGAACGGGGAUUAGCCCUUAAGUCAGAGGGGUGUUAGUGGAAUGGUCUGGAAAGUCCAGCGGCACAGGGUGAUAGCCCCGUACACGAAAACUAACCUUUGAUGAAAACGAGUAAGGCGGGACACGUGAUAUCCUGUUUGAAUAUGGGGGGACCAUCCUCCAAGGCUAAAUACUCCUGACUGACCGAUAGUGAACCAGUACCGUGAGGGAAAGGCGAAAAGAACCCCUGUGAGGGGAGUGAAAUAGAACCUGAAACCGUAUACGUACAAGCAGUGGGAGCGGUUCUUGAGACCGUGACUGCGUACCUUUUGUAUAAUGGGUCAGCGACUUACGUUUUGUAGCGAGGUUAAGCGAAUAGCGGAGCCGUAGGGAAACCGAGUGUUAACUGCGCGUUUAGUUGCAAGGCGUAGACCCGAAACCCGGUGAUCUAGCCAUGGGCAGGUUGAAGGUUGAGUAACAUCAACUGGAGGACCGAACCGACUAAUGUUGAAAAAUUAGCGGAUGACUUGUGGCUGGGGGUGAAAGGCCAAUCAAACCGGGAGAUAUCUGGUUCUCCUCGAAAGCUAUUUAGGUAGCGCCUCGAGCGAAUACCAUUGGGGGUAGAGCACUGUUAAGGCUAGGGGGUCAUCCCGACUUACCAACCCUUUGCAAACUCCGAAUACCAAUGAGUACUACUCGGGAGACAGACGGCGGGUGCUAACGUCCGUCGUCAAAAGGGAAACAACCCAGACCGUCAGCUAAGGUCCCAAAGUGUAUGUUAAGUGGGAAACGAUGUGGGAAGGCUUAGACAGCUAGGAUGUUGGCUUAGAAGCAGCCAUCAUUUAAAGAAAGCGUAAUAGCUCACUAGUCGAGUCGGCCUGCGCGGAAGAUGUAACGGGGCUAAACAUACCACCGAAGCUACGGGUGCAUUUCAUUAGAGAUGCGCGGUAGAGGAGCGUUCUGUAAGCCGUUGAAGGUGAAGGGGUAACCCACACUGGAGGUAUCAGAAGUGCGAAUGCUGACAUGAGUAACGAUAAAGGGGGUGAAAAACCCCCUCGCCGAAAGACCAAGGGUUCCUGUCCAACGUUAAUCGGGGCAGGGUGAGUCGACCCCUAAGGUGAGGCCGAAAGGCGUAAUCGAUGGGAAACAGAUUAAUAUUUCUGUACUUCCGCUAACUGCGAUGGAGAGACGGAGAAGGCUAGGCUAGCGCGGCGUUGGUAGUCCGCGUUUAAGGUGGUAGGUGGGUGACUUAGGCAAAUCCGGGUCACUAUACACUGAGAGCUGAUGACGAGUCCCCAAGGGGAUGAAGUAGUUGAUGCCAUGCUUCCAGGAAAAUCUUCUAAGCUUCAGGUUAGCGGGAAUCGUACCCCAAACCGACACAGGUGGUCGGGUAGAGAAUACCAAGGCGCUUGAGAGAACUCGGCUGAAGGAACUAGGCAAAAUGGUACCGUAACUUCGGGAGAAGGUACGCUCCUGUUGGUGAUGAGACUUGCUCUCUAAGCUGACGGGAGUCGCAGAUACCAGGUGGCUGCAACUGUUUAUCAAAAACACAGCACUGUGCAAACUCGCAAGAGGAAGUAUACGGUGUGACGCCUGCCCGGUGCCGGAAGGUUAAUUGAUUGGGUUAUCGCAAGAGAAGCUCAUGAUCGAAGCCCCGGUAAACGGCGGCCGUAACUAUAACGGUCCUAAGGUAGCGAAAUUCCUUGUCGGGUAAGUUCCGACCUGCACGAAUGGCGUAAUGAUGGCCACGCUGUCUCCAGCCGAGACUCAGUGAAGUUGAAAUUGCGGUGAAGAUGCCGUAUACCCGCGGCUAGACGGAAAGACCCCGUGAACCUUUACUAUAGCUUGGCACUGAACAUUGACCCUACAUGUGUAGGAUAGGUGGGAGACUGGGGUAAGGACAGUGCCUGGUGGGUAGUUUGACUGGGGCGGUCUCCUCCCAAAGAGUAACGGAGGAGCACGAAGGUUGGCUAAGUACGGUCGGACAUCGUACGGUUAGUGCAAUGGCAUAAGCCAGCUUAACUGCGAGACAGACACGUCGAGCAGGUACGAAAGUAGGUCAUAGUGAUCCGGUGGUUCUGAAUGGAAGGGCCAUCGCUCAACGGAUAAAAGGUACUCCGGGGAUAACAGGCUGAUACCGCCCAAGAGUUCAUAUCGACGGCGGUGUUUGGCACCUCGAUGUCGGCUCAUCACAUCCUGGGGCUGAAGUCGGUCCCAAGGGUAUGGCUGUUCGCCAUUUAAAGUGGUACGCGAGCUGGGUUCAGAACGUCGUGAGACAGUUCGGUCCCUAUCUGCCGUGGGCGUUGGAUGAUUGAGGGGAGUUGCUCCUAGUACGAGAGGACCGGAGUGAACGAACCGCUGGUGUUCGGGUUGUCAUGCCAAUGGCAUUGCCCGGUAGCUAUGUUCGGAAUCGAUAACCGCUGAAAGCAUCUAAGCGGGAAGCGAGCCCCAAGAUGAGUCAUCCCUUGGACUUUAAGUCCACUAAAGAGCCGUUCGAGACUAGGACGUUGAUAGGUCAGGUGUGUAAGCGUUGUGAGGCGUUGAGCUAACUGAUACUAAUGACUCGAGAGGCUUAACCAUACAACCCAGAUGGGUUUUG